AUUGAACGCUGGCGGCAUGCCUUACACAUGCAAGUCGAACGGCAGCAUGGAGAGCUUGCUCUCUGAUGGCGAGUGGCGAACGGGUGAGUAAUGCAUCGGAACGUACCGUGUAAUGGGGGAUAACGUAGCGAAAGUUACGCUAAUACCGCAUACGACCUGAGGAUGAAAGCAGGGGAUCACAAGACCUUGCGUUAUACGAGCGGCCGAUGUCAGAUUAGCUAGUUGGUGAGGUAAAGGCUCACCAAGGCGACGAUCUGUAGCGGGUCUGAGAGGAUGAUCCGCCACACUGGGACUGAGACACGGCCCAGACUCCUACGGGAGGCAGCAGUGGGGAAUUUUGGACAAUGGGGGCAACCCUGAUCCAGCCAUGCCGCGUGAGUGAAGAAGGCCUUCGGGUUGUAAAGCUCUUUCGGCCGGGAAGAAAUCGCACAGGCUAAUACUCUGUGUGGAUGACGGUACCGGCAUAAGAAGCACCGGCUAACUACGUGCCAGCCGCCGCAGUAA
rnacentral:rRNA from 1 species